CAGUCGCCGCGGGAAUACGAAGGGUGCAAGCGUUACUCGGAAUUACUGGGCGUAAAGCGUGCGUAGGUGGUGGUUUAAGUCCGUUGUGAAAGCCCUGGGCUCAACCUGGGAAUUGCAGUGGAUACUGGGUCACUAGAGUGUGGUAGAGGAUAGUGGAAUUUCCGGUGUAGCAGUGAAAUGCGUAGAGAUCGGAAGGAACAUCUGUGGCGAAGGCGACUAUCUGGGCCAACACUGACGCUGAGGCACGAAAGCGUGGGGAGCAAACAGGAUUAGAUACCCGCGUAGUCCCUGUCUCUUAUAC
rnacentral:rRNA from 1 species